rnacentral:rRNA from 1 species
GGAGUAUCGACCCUCUCUGUGCCGAAGUUAACGCGUUAGGUGUCCCGUCUGGGAACUACGGCCGCAAGGCUAAAACUCAAAGGAAUUGACGGGGGCCCGCACAAGCAGCGGAGCGUGUGGUUUAAUUCGAUGCAAAACGAAGAACCUUACCAAGACUUGACAUGAUGGAAGUAGUGAACUGAAAGGGAAACG